CUGUUGACGAGUCCCAAACAAGACGAAACAGCUGUCCAG
rnacentral:hammerhead_ribozyme from 1 species